rnacentral:tRNA from 1 species
AGUGUCGUAGUUCAAUGGUAGAAUCCCCGACUGUCUAUCGGGAGGUUGCGGGUUCGAAUCCCGUCGGCACUG